AAUUCUGUUUUUUUUUUUUUUCCAUUUUUCUAGUUUUAUUUACUUAGUAGACUAGACAGCUCCAGCAAAUGAAAGUGAAUCUGUCCUCCCUCAACAAGGAAGUCAAGAGAGGCCUCUGCAAUCCUGGGCACUUGGAGCCAGGGCAAGGGCUGACCAGAACAGGUGGGGGAAAUGCUUCGCCUGGUGAAGACAUCUCCUAGCCUAGUGAAGAUAUCUCCUUUCACCAAAAUGUUUCUCAAGAGGGGAAUAAUUUAAAGGAAAUGAGAUGCUGUGCUUAAAGCUGGGCCUUCGUGUCCCCUACAUAUUCCAACUUUUGGAGGCUCAACUCUACAAAACAUAUCAAGCCUACUAACUGUACCCAUAUUCUACCUUACAUAUACUUUUUCAUUCUAAAAUUUUUGUAAGGAUUUUGAUGUUUGUGUUUUAGAAAUCAUUUGGCUCUAUGUAACUUUCAUUUAGUUUAUGAUUGGCUAGGAGUUCCCGACAAUCACUGUGUGUACUUUAAAGGAUUUGUGAGAAAUUAAAG
rnacentral:lncRNA from 1 species